UACAGAGGUCUCAAGCGUUGUUCGGAUUCAUUGGGCGUAAAGGGUGCGUAGGUGGCGCUGUAAGUCGGGUGUGAAAUUUCGGAGCUUAACUCCGAAACUGCAUUCGAUACUGCGGUGCUUGAGGACUGGAGAGGAGACUGGGAAUUUACGGUGUAGCGGUGAAAUGCGUAGAUAUCGUAAGGAAGACCAGUGGCGAAGGCGGGUCUCUGGACAGUUCCUGACGCUGAGGCACGAAGGUCAGGGGAGCAAACGGG
rnacentral:rRNA from 1 species